rnacentral:lncRNA from 1 species
UCCAAAAUUGAAUAUCAGAUACUUUGAAGUAAGCUUGGAUAGCAAGGCAAAUGUACAUUGGUGUUUGAAGCUUGACCUUUGCCAAGUGAUGUCAGCCUGUUUAAGCCAUGCGCAGCCUAUGCAUUUCUUGUCCAAAUUAAAUUAAUUUGAGCUUUUUGGAAAGGUGAGAUCAAGCGGAACAACUUUCAUGUUCAACACUUUUUAAUUUGGAGCUUAGAACUUGGAGAAAUUUGAGGUGGAAGUUUG